GCGGAGGGGUUAGUAAUACAUGGAUAACUUGCCUUUAACUUUGGGAUAACGAUUGGAAACGAUCGCUAAUACCGAAUGAGGUGGGGGUGGGUUAAAUUUUACCUUAUCAAAGUAGGGGAUCGGGAAACCGGGCUUCGCGGUUAGAGAGAGGUCCAUGGGAUAUCAGCUAGUUGGUGUGGUAAUGGCGCACCAAGGCUAAGACGUCUAGGCGGAUUGAGAGAUUGA
rnacentral:rRNA from 1 species